UACGGAGGGUGCAAGCGUUAUCCGGAUUCACUGGGUUUAAAGGGUGCGUAGGUGGGUUGGUAAGUCAGUGGUGAAAUCUCCGUGCUUAACAUGGAAACUGCCAUUGAUACUACUGGUCUUGAAUUUUCUGGAGGUAAGCGGAAUAUGUCAUGUAGCGGUGAAAUGCUUAGAUAUGACAUAGAACACCAAUUGCGAAGGCAGCUUACUACAG
rnacentral:rRNA from 1 species